CCCCUGAUGGAGUUCGGGGGCCACAGCGGACCGCCACCACUGAAGGCCCGCUGCGAGCUACGGCUGUAGAACGUAGAGAGUGAAAACCCCUUGAAUUGGGCACUCAGCACCGCGCCCAGCGAUCGCUCAAAGGCCGACGUGGCACCGGCGACCCCCGCGGCGUCCACCAUUCGGUAAGGCCACCCGCCCUCAAAGAAGUACUUCGCCGCAGCCAAAACGUGUAAAUCUUUCGAACCAUAUCCACCGGAGAGAUUGCCUUGACUGGUUCGAAAUGACCCGUACUGGAGGGCUCCCUCCAGCUUCAAGUUCUCGACCUUGCGGGUGAUGAUGUUGAUGGUUCCCGCGUAAGCGUGGGUCCCGUAGAUGACAG
rnacentral:misc_RNA from 1 species